ensembl:snRNA U6 U6 spliceosomal RNA
GUGCUCGCUUCGGCAGCACAUAUACUAAAACUGGAACGACAUAGAGAAGAUUAGUAUGGUCCCUGUGCAAGGAUGGCACGCAAAUUCAUGAAGCGUUCCAUAUUUUU